CUCGCCAUGGGCCAUGGCUUUAUAUGUUCUUCAUGUAAAGAAGCUCGUUUUCUGCUGGCAGAAUUGAUGUCAUAUUUACAUUCAGAAAGCUAUAUCUGCAGGUGUGAUGUCAUAAUUAUACAAUCAAAACGGAGAUUGUAUAGGAAAUAAUGACUGAAGAUUGAUAAUGGAUGGUUGCGCGAACUUUUACUGUUUUCAUGUAUUUUACUUACAGUAUUGAAGAUUCUGAAAAAUCCACUCAGAAUCUUUACAAAAUACAAAACAACGGCAAUUCAGAAAAGAAACGUUUUCAUAUAUUCAAGUUUCAACUACAUAUGUUUUAAUUGUCAUCACGAAUGAUACUAGGUUAUAUUUUA